CUUUAUUAUUUCUUGAUAUUUGUAAUUUUAAAGAUACACUAUUAUGGUCAGUGUAUUGAAUAACAAUUGGUCUGAUAUCACAAGAGGAGCAAUUUUUUUUAAUUUCAGUACUAACAAGCAAGUAAUCAAUUCUUGUGGCUUCUGUUUUAUUUCUUUUACACCAUGUGAACUGAGUUUUAUCUCUGUUUUUUUCACGCCAUAUAUCUGUUAAUUUUAAAGAUUGUAAUUAAAGUUUUAAUCCGCAGACUGGAUUAUCAAAUUUUAUUCUUUUAUUUUUAUUUUUUGUAUCUUUUUCAGAUAAAAUAUCGUUAAAAUCUCCUCCUAUUAUC
rnacentral:lncRNA from 1 species